AGAGUUUGAUCCUGGCUCAGGACGAACGCUGGCGGCGUGCCUAACACAUGCAAGUCGAACGGGACCGGGGGCAACUUCGGUUCAGUGGCGGACGGGUGCGUAACACGUGAGGAACAUGACCUUCGGCGGGGGAUAGCCGGCCCAACGGCCGGGUAAUACCGCGUACGACCUUUCGGGGACAUCCCUGGAUGGUGAAAGCAGCAAUGCGCCGAUGGAGUGCCUCGCGGCCUAUCAGCUAGUUGGUGGGGUAACGGCCUACCAAGACAACGACGGGUAGCUGGUCUGAGAGGAUGGCCAGCCACAUUGGGACUGAGACACGGCCCAGACUCCUACGGGAGGCAGCAGUGGGGAAUCUUGCGCAAUGGGCGAAAGCCUGACGCAGCGACGCCGCGUGAGGGAUGAAGGCCUUCGGGUUGUAAACCUCUUUCAGCGGGGACGAAAUUGACGGUACCCGCAGAAGAAGGUCCGGCCAACUACGUGCCAGCAGCCGCGGUAAUACGUAGGGACCGAGCGUUGUCCGGAUUCACUGGGCGUAAAGGGCGCGUAGGCGGCCCCGUCAGUCGGUCUUUUAAGAGCGGGGCUCACCCCCGUGGGGGGACCGGGACGGCGGGGCUGGGGCGCGGCAGAGGGGUGCGGAAUGCCGGGUGUAGUGGUGAAAUGCGCAGAUAUCGGGAGGAACACCAGUAGCGAAGGCGGCUCCCUGGGCCAUUCCUGACGCUGAGACGCGAAAGCGUGGGGAGCAAACAGGAUUAGAUACCCCCGUAGUCC
rnacentral:rRNA from 1 species